GGUAGCCUAGUGGUUAAAGAAACCGCUUUGGAUGCGGGAGGUCGCGAGUUCGAACCCCGAUCGAGUCA